CUGAACAUUGAGCCUUGAUGUGUAGGAUAGGUGGGAGGCUUAGAAGUGUGGACGCCAGUCUGCAUGGAGCCGACCUUGAAAUACCACCCUUUAAUGUUUGAUGUUCUAACGUUGACCCGUAAUCCGGGUUGCGGACAGUGUCUGGUGGGUAGUUUGACUGGGGCGGUCUCCUCCUAAAGAGUAACGGAGGAGCACGAAGGUUGGCUAAUCCUGGUCGGACAUCAGGAGGUUAGUGCAAUGGCAUAAGCCAGCUUGACUGCGAGCGUGACGGCGCGAGCAGGUGCGAAAGCAGGUCAUAGUGAUCCGGUGGUUCUGAAUGGAAGGGCCAUCGCUCAACGGAUAAAAGGUACUCCGGGGAUAACAGGCUGAUACCGCCCAAGAGUUCAUAUCGACGGCGGUGUUUGGCACCUCGAUGUCGGCUCAUCACAUCCUGGGGCUGAAGUAGGUCCCAAGGGUAUGGCUGUUCGCCAUUUAAAGUGGUACGCGAGCUGGGUUUAGAACGUCGUGAGACAGUUCGGUCCCUAUCUGCCGUGGGCGCUGGAGAACUGAGGGGGGCUGCUCCUAGUACGAGAGGACCGGAGUGGACGCAUCACUGGUGUUCGGGUUGUCAUGCCAAUGGCACUGCCCGGUAGCUAAAUGCGGAAGAGAUAAGUGCUGAAAGCAUCUAAGCACGAAACUUGCC
rnacentral:rRNA from 1 species